rnacentral:lncRNA from 1 species
UGGGUUAGGGUAAAUUGUUAAGAUUUAAACUUACUCAUUUUUCCUUCUACCAUGGGGCUUGCAACCGUCACUUGUGUCUUGAGCAGUUAAAAGAUAGAACGGUCUAGUCAAGCGCCAUAUCUCUUGUUCUUCGAUUAACUUAGCUCUGGAGUUUUUGCAGAUUUCAAAUAAAACUUAGAGAUUCCUUGUAUGACUCUCUCUAGUCUCUCUUUUGUGGUAUUUCUGGAUCCUUACCAAGGAAGUAAUGGUGUCUGCCUUCUCUCAAAAUAUGUGGUAUUUUUGGUAUGAGGCAUAGUGGCAUUGCCUUCUCUCUCACCCUACUCUAAUAAGGUUUUGAUAUCUGGUGCUCAUAGGUGGGAGACAGCUAAUACAUACUUACAAGACAUUUAUUGCAUAGUCAAACCAUGGAUCUAGAAGAACAAGUCAAUAAGUCAAAUCAAGAUGUGCAUGUGUGGCGAAUGAAUGGUGAUAAUGGCAAAAAAUAAUGGUGAAAGUCUAAUUCUACUUUGCUCUUUUGAGGGGGUACAUACCUUCCUUGCACUUGAGGCUUUUGAGGGGAAUCUUGUACCCCUAAUUCUACUGUCGGACACUUGUCCAUUUUUACCUCUCGUCUCACUUUUUCUUUUUCUUUUUCUUUUUCUUUCGAGGUUUCGGGCACUUGCCCCUUUUUAUUUCCUCGUAUUCACUUUUUUCAUAGCACUCACCCUCCUGGAAUAAUGUAGCAAGUGGUAGUAACCAAAAUAUCUCGAGUAUUUAUUUCACGGGGAAUAACAGGGAUAGGAUAAUGUUUUUGGCUAUUCUCUCCUAGAUAGGAGUAGAAUAAUUUUGCGUGAAUCUGGAUAUGGAAAUAUGUGGAUGCAUGUGGAUGCGUACUUCCGGAGUAGAAGCAGCAUGUAUGAGUGAACGUGCAAGUGAAUCUUGAUUUUAACCGCAUGACAAGCUCCUAAGGGUCUACACAGCUUGACCACACUCAAUGCUCAUAAGCAGUAAAAAGUAAAUGUAUGGUUCAUAGUCUAAUAAGCAUGUAUGUAUGGCUGUGGUAGGAUUUUAAACUCUCAUCAUACAGGAACUCAUCAUGCAACAUUUUAAAGAUUUUCAAAGAAAAAAUUCUCUAGAAUUCUAGCAUCUCUAGGAACACAUAAACAACAGCUCAACCUUCCCAUAUCGUAUCCGUUAACGACUUAGACUUUAGAUCAAGUACUCUUCCCACAAGUUCAGGUUUAGAGAAAUCUUAAUUAAUAACAGUCAUGCCUAAACUUGAUAGAGAUUUCAAUUUUGAGAUCUGGUCGUGGCAGAGCAACUAUUCUUCAUUUCUAAGUGAGAGCUUAUCAUGAGGGUUCAUAGCAAACUUUAUUUAUUUAUUUAUUUAGCAAACUAAGCAAAGAUAUAUAUAUAAGCACAAAAUCUUUAUUUGGGUUUUUAUGAUUAUGCAUCUUUUUAUUAUUUGAGUAAAGUAUAAACGUGAGUAGAACACUUAGCUGGAUAAAUGAGGGUGCUCUCCCCCAAGCUGGAUUUUGAUGUAAAUUCUUCUGAUGUAGCUAGCAGAUGGCGGAGGUGUAUUUGAAUGUCGGCAGCACCCUGACAGCGAUUAGGAUGUCCUCCAUCUGCUAGUCUUCUUUGAUCCUUGAAUUCUGUGGAGCUCAAAUAGACAACAAAGCUUUGUGGAACUAGUUAAGUGUUAGCAUAAAUAUCUAGCCUUUAUCAUGUUGGGCCUCCUCAAUAAAUGUUACUCUCUUUAGUAGUAUCAUAAAUUUAUUUUUAUAUUUUCAUUUUUAUAGGACAAGAAUAUAUUUAUUUUAUUUUUACGCCACCACAGUGAAUGUACUUAUGGGUUUUAUGCCAUGAGCAUACUCACAUGGGGCUUACUAUUUUUAACAUUUUUAUUUUCUUUUCAAGAUGAUAUGAACCUGAUUAACUAAGCAAACUAUUUUAAAUAAUUGAAAGAAAAAAGAUAACUAACAAGUUUACCUCUUGGCAAGGCGUUCGGUGUUUUUAAGUCCUCCGAACGGGACUCUCCAUUUUCUCAAUCGUCCUGGGAUUCGCUGGAUGGCGUAGUCGGUGCUUCCGGCGGCGCCUCCUCUUCGUGUAUAUCUAUCUUCUCUCUCCACACCUAACUCGGUGCUACGGUCUCCUCAGGACAGUUCUGUUCAAGCUGUAUGUCUUCAGAUCUUACCAUUUCUCCUUCGUAGUCUGCGCAUCCAUCCUUGAUGAUUUGCCUCCUCUGAUUGCGGUUGCGUCGUCUUAUUCUUGUCCUGACCUGCUUAGAGUCUUCAACUAUAUAGUUAGGGUCAGUAAAAUAGCGGCGUACUUUCUCAGAGGGGAAGUGCAUGUGGACUUCUCCGGUUCCAAUGUAGAUGAUUACUUUAAUGGUGCUGAGGAACAGUCUCCCAAGGAUGAUGGGUGGAUCGUACUCGUCUUCUCCCAUGUCAAUAACCUGAAAAUCUGUAUGGACAAAAUGAUCAUCUAUUUUGAUAGGGACAUCAGUUACUAUACCUUCAACCUUUCAGAAUGUCUGAUCUACCAUCUGGAGCUGAAUGUAUGUCGGUUUUAGGGGCAUGGUUCCGAACAGGAGCUGAUAGGUGACUGCGACCAUUAUGUUGACGUCUGACCCGGUGUCGCAAAGCGUCUUCUGGAAAUUGUAUACAUUAAUGGAUCACUGGAUGCUUGGCAUACCUGGGUCAUCCUUUUCGGUCAGAAACGGUGACUUAAGUCGACGAUCUUGACCUCCUUGAACUGCAGUGACCAUCUUAGCUGACUCGGUGCACAUUUGCUUGUUCCUAUUCCUCCUAUUGGUCCUCUUCCUUGGUUCAUGUCGGGAUUGCUCAGAGAUUUGUGU